rnacentral:lncRNA from 1 species
GCGGGACUUGGUAGGACCAAGUUGCUUGGUCCAUCUGUAAGGGGACCCAAGCGGGUCGCCCAAUUUGUAGGACAGGGGCUUGCUGGGAGCAAGUCGCCUGGUCCGUCUGUAAGGGGACCCAAGCGGGUCGCCCAAUUUGUAGGACAGGGGCUUGCUGGGAGCAAGUUGCCUGCUCCAUCUGUAAGGGGACCCAAGCGGGUCGCCCAAUUUGUAGGACAGGGGCUUGCUGGGAGCAAGUCGCCUGGUCCGUCUGUAAGGGGACCCAAGCGGGUCGCCCAAUCUGUAAGGACAGGGACUUGGUGGGAGCAAGUUGCCUGCUCCAUCUGUAAGGGGAUCCAAGCGGGUCGCCCAAUCUGUAAAAGAGGUACUUGUUGGAAUCAAGUCAUCUAAAAUUCCGAAUAGGACCCUAGUCUGUGUUACUGUACUGUCUGUCCAUGUUUCACAUUUGUGUUAUAUGUUUCUUAAGCAUCUCUUUCUGUCCCUGCUCUCCCUAUGCACGUGGCAUGCAUGGGUCAGGGGGUCAGGGGUCUUUUCUUGAUUCUCUGAGCACGUGGCGCCACCUCAACUAUGAUCGGCAGAUGCACCCGGAGGACAGACUGCCACUCUGAGGACACCCAGGACCCAGGAGACAUCUGAGUAUCAGUUGCGGACUACAGGCUGUUCUAAGUAGACUGCGAGCCCUGGACUUGCUGUGGAUGUGAACCAAGUCAGCUGAUGUGGACACUCCCUGACUCUGCAACAGUGUCUGCUAACCAGAAGCCCCUGAUGGAUUCCCCAUUGCCUAAAUUCCUUUUUGCUUUUGACUAGCAUUUCAACCUUCUGGGGUCCCUAACUUCGUCCCAAAGUCAGCAGGAAGCAGUUUGAAAAAGAAUUUCAGCGUCCAUUUUCCCUGGUUAAAAUGCUAAGUCAAAAGGAACUCCUUACAUGGGGAUGCCAAUAUCUAUCACUUCCUGAUGGGGAUACUAGAGAGACAGCAAUUCCAUGAUUGGAAUUUCCAGAAAAGAAAAUGGGGGAAUGAAGGAACCGGCUUCCCUUUUGGCAGCCAUAACAGCCGAACACGUGCUUGCCAUAAACCUACCUUGGUCACGUAGAGGUCAGAUGCCUGUCUCGUGACAAGGAACCCAUCAGAAGUUAGUCACUAGAAAGUCAGAUGCCUGUCUCGUGACAAGGAG